UUCCAACUGAUGGCGCGUGGGUUCGCUAGUGGGCGCAUGGAUACGCGCGAAUGCGCGCACACCAAUCUGCAUCGUUCGCGCGCAGACGCGCAAAGAUCUAAGAAUGCGCGCGCCUUUUUAAAAUCUCAGAAGUAAUGUGUGCGUUACGCUGUGGAGUUAAGGUUGAAUUUGUUAUGUUCAGUUUUAAAAAGACGCUUCGAUGCGCUUCGACUCUGCGCUAGUAUAAAUUGACCCUAAGAUUAUUUAGACACCACUGACAAACGGUGAAGGAAAACAUCGUGAGGAAACCUGGGUUUAUAAUUUCUGAUUAUAAGUUUGAAAUCGCCAACCCGCAUUGAACAAGCGCACUAGGAUUUUCUCCUGUGUCGUGAGUGUGUUUACAAACAUACAAGUUCACAUGCACAUGAUAAUAAAAAUAUGUUUUGAAUUAUAUGGCAAUAAACUCACCCCCUAUUACAUGGGACUCAUAAAAUAAGUGGCGAAAAGUGGGUGUUACACCUCUGUCUACCCCUUCAGGGGUGAAAAGUUACCAUCUACAACGAAAUAUGUAUUAUGGCAACACUCGAUUUCAGUAUUUAAGGAAAGUGUUGCCAGUCAAAAAAAUAUUAUUUUAAUUUUAAAUGUAAUAUGAGAAUAUUAGAUUGAAUUUUUAUUAUAACGUUCCCGAUAACAUAAUAAUUAAUGAGAAUAUUAGUUUAAAUUGUUAAUUUAUAGUGCAAGCCAAAAUAUUAGGUUCAAUUCACGGGUAAGACAAAGUAUUAUUGAGUUUCAAAAUUCUAUGUAGUACCUAUGUAGAUUUAUGUAUGUAAAAUGUAAAGCCUACCUACUCCUUUAAGAUAAACGGUGUGAUGUUAUUACAUAAUACACAUUAAUAAAUAAAAUA